rnacentral:rRNA from 1 species
UACGAAGGGGGCUAGCGUUGCUCGGAAUCACUGGGCGUAAAGCGCACGUAGGCGGCUUACUAAGUCAGGGGUGAAAUCCUGGAGCUCAACUCCAGAACUGCCUUUGAUACUGGUGAGCUUGAGUCCGGAAGAGGUGAGUGGAACUGCGAGUGUAGAGGUGAAAAUUCGUAGAUAUCGAGAGGAACACCGGUGGCGAAGGCGGCCAACUGGACGAAAUACUGACGCUGGAGACUCGAAAGCGUGGGGAGCAAACAGG